GCUGUGGCUUAGUGGCAGAGUAUCUGCUUAGAGUACAGAAGGUCCCAGGGUUCAAUUCCCAGCAUCUCCA
rnacentral:tRNA from 1 species